UUGAAAGGGAAACGAUUGAAGUCAGUCGUACCGACGAGAAAUCAACUUAUCGUGUGCGAACUUGUGGGCGUGCGUGAGUUUCGGCCUCGCUGUUUGCAUGUUUGUGCGCUUUGGGUGUACUUUUUCGUAUGGUAGGCCAACGUCAGUUUCGAUUAUCAUAAAAUGACCGGCGGAAUGUAGCUUCGAUUUCGGUUGAGGUGUUAUAGCCUCUGGUAGAUGUGGUGAUUGAGACUGAGGAUUGCAACGAAUACCCUUUGGGCUAUCCGUCUGGCCUCUGAAAGUUGCUCAGGUGCCGAAAGCGUGCUUACGGUCAUCUAAGAUAACGUUCAACAGGUUAGAACGUGAUUACAUUCGUUAAGGAUGUUGACGUA
rnacentral:rRNA from 1 species